GAGAGAGCCAGUGUUAUGACUUCUGGACUGGGAGUAUCACAGAAGUCUUCUAGACAGAGGUAACUUGAGUGUUAAGGAGUGGCAGGAGGUCUUGCUCACUGCAGUAAGAACCUACAGCAUCAUCCAACGAUUCAUAUAGCUGCCACAGAUGAUUGGGAGGAGAUGGAGAGAGAAGAGAAGUGUGUUGGCUCAGAGGCUGGCUUGAGG
rnacentral:lncRNA from 10 species